GAAAACGCGGUGAAGAGAAGAGUAGAUGAACGGGCAGCCUUGCAGAGAGCUCCGGCAGCUGUGAAGGAGCAGGCCGCCCGUCAUUGAAGCAAGCCUCCGAGCGGCGCAUCGGAAGAGGGGUCCUCAUUCCUCGGAUGGUGCGACAGGAGCUCCUGUUACAGAGCUAGGGUAUAAGCAUGCGUACAUGCCGUACCCGAAGAGGCGGAUGUAGCGAUAGAUCCGCGAACCGGGGUGGCACCGCGAAAUACAAUCUCGUCCCCAAG
rnacentral:ncRNA from 1 species